rnacentral:lncRNA from 1 species
GCAUUAAUAGUGGCAUUAGUAGUGCCAUUAGUAGUAGUAAUAGUAAUACCCAAUUAAAUGAUAAAUUAUAUGAUAUUAGUAAAUAUAUUACUCAUGAAAAAUAUAUUAUUGCGUUAAGUAAUUUGUAUAUAUGUACAUUUUGUUUUGUAAAAAACUAUAUGAUUCUUUAUAAUUUUUUAUUAAAUUUAAAAUUCUCUUUAUUUUGUAUAAUAUGCAUAUCCUUCUUUUUUUUAUAUUCUUGUUAUUAUUUAAAAUGUUUAUGUAAUGAUAUAUUUCUUUAUUUUAUUCUAUUUAUUUGUGUUAUUAUUAUAUCUUUAUUUCUCGCAUAUAAUAAUGAAAAAAAAAAAAGAAUAGCAUUCAUGAAUAAACAAGCACCACAAAAAAAAAAAUUAAAACUUUAUCUAACGAAGUAUUUUUCAUUCAGUAAUUCUACUCCAAUGUCUCCUAUUGAAGAUAUUUUAAAUAAUUUGAAAUUGUUACUAGAUUGUACCAAAUUAUUAGAAGAAGGUGCAAGUGAUAAAAAAUUAGUAGAAAUAACAAAUAUGAAAAAAAGAAUCAGAAAAUGUGAAAAUAUAUUAGGGACACAAAACUUAAACGAAGUUCAAUUCUAUGAAAAUAAAAAAGUGGAAAAUAUAUACAAUAUGUGGUGUUUAGAUAAAAAAGAUAACAUUUCGGAAAAAAAAGAAGAAUAUAGUUCAUAUUUAUCUCAGAGCUUAAAAAAAAAAACAUUUAAUUCAUUUUCUUUUAUGCAUUCAUUAUUAUCAUCAUCAUCAUCAAAAUCUCAAGAUAAUUCUUUGGAUAUGUUUGAAUGGAAUGCAGACAUAACAACUCUAUACAAACGAAAUGUUUUCAUAUCAAUCGGAUAUAAAUUGUUAUAUCCUAUAAUUAUAUUAGAGUUAAAAUUUGACAUAGAAAAAUUAAAAAAAUUUCUUUUUAAAAUAUGUUCUUUGUAUAACAAUCUCCCAUACCAUAACAGUUUGCACGCUGCACAGGUAAAAACAUUUGAGUAGAUGAUUGUGCAUAUAGCUUUGAGUGCAUAUAUUAUUGAG